rnacentral:rRNA from 1 species
GACGAACGCUGGCGGCGUGCUUAACACAUGCAAGUCGAACGGAAAGGCCCUGCUUUUGUGGGGUGCUCGAGUGGCGAACGGGUGAGUAACACGUGAGUAACCUGCCCUUGACUUUGGGAUAACUUCAGGAAACUGGGGCUAAUACCGGAUAGGAGCUCCUGCUGCAUGGUGGGGGUUGGAAAGUUUCGGCGGUUGGGGAUGGACUCGCGGCUUAUCAGCUUGUUGGUGGGGUAGUGGCUUACCAAGGCUUUGACGGGUAGCCGGCCUGAGAGGGUGACCAGCCACAUUGGGACUGAGAUACGGCCCAGACUCCUACGGGAGGCAGCAGUGGGGAAUAUUGCUCAAUGGGCGGAAGCCUGAUGCAGCAACGCCGCGUGCGGGAUGACGGCCUUCGGGUUGUAAACCGCUUUCGCCUGUGACGAAGCGUGAGUGACGGUAAUGGGUAAAGAAGCACCGGCUAACUACGUG